AGGUAAGCUACUAAGAGCGAAUGGUGGAUGCCUUGACUGGUAAAGGCGAUGAAGGACGUACUAGACUGCGAUAAGCUACGGGGAGCUGUCAAGAAGCUUUGAUCCGUAGAUUUCCGAAUGGGGCAACCCAAUGUAUAGAGAUAUACAUUACCUAUAUAGGAGCGAACGAGGGGAAUUGAAACAUCUUAGUACCCUCAGGAAAAGAAAUCAAUAGAGAUUGCGUCAGUAGCGGCGAGCGAAAGCGCAAGAGGGCAAACCCAGUGCUUGCACUGGGGGUUGUAGGACUGCAAUGUGCAAGAGGUAAGUUUAGCAGAACAUUCUGGAAAGUAUAACCAUAGAGGGUGAUAGUCCCGUAUGCGAAAAACAAACCUUAGCUAGCAGUAUCCUGAGUAGGGCGGGACACGAGGAAUCCUGUCUGAAUCCGGGUCGACCACGAUCCAACCCUAAAUACUAAUACCAGAUCGAUAGUGCACAAGUACCGUGAGGGAAAGGUGAAAAGAACUGAGGUGAUCAGAGUGAAAUAGAACCUGAAACCAUUUGCUUACAAUCAUUCAGAGCCCUAUGUAGCAAUACAGGGUGAUGGACUGCCUUUUGCAUAAUGAGCCUGCGAGUUGUGGUGUCUGGCAAGGUUAAGCAAACGCGAAGCCGUAGCGAAAGCGAGUCUGAAUAGGGCGCUUAGUCAGAUGCUGCAGACCCGAAACGAAGUGAUCUAUCCAUGAGCAAGUUGAAGCUAGUGUAAGAACUAGUGGAGGACUGAACCCAUAGGCGUUGAAAAGCCCCGGGAUGACUUGUGGAUAGGGGUGAAAGGCCAAUCAAACUUCGUGAUAGCUGGUUCUCUCCGAAAUAUAUUUAGGUAUAGCGUUGUGUCGUAAUAUAAGGGGGUAGAGCACUGAAUGGGCUAGGGCAUACACCAAUGUACCAAACCCUAUCAAACUCCGAAUACCUUAUAUGUAAUCACAGCAGUCAGGCGGCGAGUGAUAAAAUCCGUCGUCAAGAGGGAAACAACCCAGACUACCAGCUAAGGUCCCUAAAUCUUACUUAAGUGGAAAACGAUGUGAAGUUACUUAAACAACCAGGAGGUUGGCUUAGAAGCAGCCAUCCUUUAAAGAAAGCGUAAUAGCUCACUGGUCUAGUGAUUUUGCGCGGAAAAUAUAACGGGGCUAAAGUAAGUACCGAAGCUGUAGACUUGCACACAACUUAGAUUAUUUAAGUUUAGAAUAUGAGAAACUAAGUUAUAUGUUUAGUUAUAUUUUUACUGAUUUUUAUAGAGUAAA
rnacentral:rRNA from 1 species